CUACGGGUGGCUGCAGUGAGGAAUUUUGGACAAUGGGGGAAACCCUGAUCCAGCGACGCCGCGUGAAGGAUGAAGGUCUUCGGAUUGUAAACUUCUUUUAUCUGGGAAUAAGAACCCUGUGGAAACAUGGGGAGUGAAUGUACCAGGUGAAUAAGCCACGGCUAACUUCGUGGCCAGCAGCCGCGGUAAUACGAAGGUGGCAAGCGUUACUCGGAAUUACUAGGCGUAAAGGGCAGGUAGGUGGUUUGAUAAGUCUGUUGUGAAAGCUCCUGCUUAACUGGGAGAGGUCAACGGAUACUGUCAGGCUUGAGUAUGGGAGAGGGUACUGGAAUUCCCGGUGUAGCGGUGAAAUGCGCAGAGAUCGGGAGGAACACCUAUGGCGAAAGCAGGUACCUGGACCAUUACUGACACUCAGCUGCGAAAGCUAGGGGAGCAAACAGGAUUAGAUACCCGGGUAGUC
rnacentral:rRNA from 1 species